UGGGGAAUAUUGCACAAUGGAGGGAACUCUGAUGCAGCGACGCCGCGUGAACGAAGAAGGCUUUCGAGUCGUAAAGUUCUUUUAUAUGGGAAGAUAAUGACGGUACCAUAAGAAAAAGCCCCGGCUAACUACGUGCCAGCAUCCGCGGUAAUACGUAGGGGGCUAGCGUUGUCCGGAAUCACUGGGGGUAAAGGAUUCGCAGGCGGAAAUGCAAGUCAGGUGUAAAAGGCAGUAGCUUAACUACUGUAAGCAUCUUAAACUGCAUAUCGUGAGAAGAGUAGAGGUAAAUGGAAUUUUUAGUGUAGCGGUGAAAUGCGUAGAUAUUAAAAAGAAUGCCGGAGGCGGAGGGGACUUACAGAGCUCAUUCUGACGCUGAGGAACGAAAGCGUGGGUAGCAAACAGG
rnacentral:rRNA from 1 species